AAAAAAAAACUUUUUCUAAAGUACAAAUGUAUGGUUAACAGUGUUUAUGUCAUAUCAAUCCGUCAGAAAAAGUUUUUUUUUUAGUUAGUUAGUUGUAAUUCUUGGCUGAA